rnacentral:rRNA from 1 species
CCUACGGGAGGCAGCAGUGGGGAAUAUUGCACAAUGGGGGAAACCCUGAUGCAGCGACGCCGCGUGAGCGAAGAAGUAUUUCGGUAUGUAAAGCUCUAUCAGCAGGGAAGAAGAAAUGACGGUACCUGACUAAGAAGCACCGGCUAAAUACGUGCCAGCAGCCGCGGUAAU